GAUGAAGAACGUAGCGAAAUGCGAUAAGUAAUGCGAAUUGCAGAAUUCCAGUGAGUCAUCGAAUCUUUGAACGCACAUUGCGCCCAUUGGUAUUCCGAUGGGCAUGCCUGUUCGAGCGUCAUUUCAACCAUCAAGCCCCAGGCUUGUGUUGGAGCCCUGCGGCUGCCGCAGCCUCCCAAAACCAGUGGCGGGCUCGCUAUCACACCGAGUGCAGUAGUUUACUCUUCGCUCAGGGCGUGUGGCGGGUGCUAGCCGUGAAACCCCCAACUUCUCAAGGUUGACCUCGGAUCAGGUAGGAAUACCCGCUGAACUUAAGCAUAUCAAUAAGCGGAGGA
rnacentral:misc_RNA from 1 species